CUCCCAUUCUUCAUGUGUUCAAAUUGUUUUCCUGUGUUAUUUCUCAUUAUCAAACAUAAUUUAUGGAUGUCUAUAGUCUGACAUCUGUGGAUUGGAUGAUUUUUAAUGAUAUCUGGUUCAUCUGUAUUCACCCAUGGGCAGGGCUACCAUUCCCUCACCUGUGCAACCCCCUGGAGCUGGGUCGCGUACUUACCCUGUUUUUUUGUGCUGCAGUUUUCAGGACCCAUCACAGCUCAUCCCUCAGGCCAGCCCUUUUUCUCGGACUCCCAGCCAUUUUCCCCGGAAAGCUUCCUGCUUACACCUGCCUGCACUCCUGCCACCUUUUGGGAAUCUCUGGAACCCAGAUCAGGGAUCCACUCUGUUCAGCUCACCCAGAG